AUUGAACGCUGGCGGCAGGCCUAACACAUGCAAGUCGAGCGAGCGGCGGACGGGUGAGUAAUGUAUGGGAAUCUGCCCGAUGGAGGGGGAUAACUACUGGAAACGGUGGCUAAUACCGCAUACUAUCGGAUGUGCCCAGAUGGGAUUAGCUAGUAGGUGGGGUAAAGGCUCACCUAGGCGACGAUCCCUAGCUGGUCUGAGAGGAUGACCAGCCAAACUGGGACUGAGACACGGUCCAGACUCCGACGGUAGGGAGCAGGGGGGAAUAUGGCACAAUGGGCGCAAGCCUGAUGCAGCCAUGCCGCGUGUAUGAAGAAGGCCUUAGGGUUGUAAAGUACUUUCAGCGGGGAGGCGUUACCCGCAGAAGAAGCACCGGCUAACUCCGUGCCAGCAGCCGCGGUAAUUC
rnacentral:rRNA from 1 species